UACGGAGGAUGCGAGCGUUAUCCGGAUUUAUUGGGUUUAAAGGGUGCGUAGGCGGGGUGCCAAGUCAGCGGUAAAAAUGCGGUGCUCAACGCCGUCGAGCCGUUGAAACUGGCGUUCUUGAGUGGGCGAGAAGUAUGCGGAAUGCGUGGUGUAGCGGUGAAAUGCAUAGAUAUCACGCAGAACUCCGAUUGCGAAGGCAGCAUACCGGCGCCCUACUGACGCUGAGGCACGAAAGCGUGGGUAUCGAACAGG
rnacentral:rRNA from 1 species